AUUGGUCGCAGGUUCGAAUCCUGCACGACCCACCAAUUUAACAUCAAACUCAGAUGUUGAACGUGAAGGAUAACGUUGCGUCAGCAACGGCCCGUAGGGCAAGGCGAAGCCGAGUCAUCCUGCACGACCCACCA
rnacentral:sRNA from 1 species